rnacentral:rRNA from 1 species
UACAGAGGUGACUAACGUUGUCCGGAAUUAUUGGGCGUAAAGGGCGCGUAGGUGGUCAGGUAAGUCAGGUGUGAAAGCUCUGGGCUUAACCCAGGAAUUGCAUCUGAUACUGCCUGGCUUGAGUACGGUAGAGGAGGGUGGAAUUCCCAGUGUAGCGGUGAAAUGCGUAGAUAUUGGGAGGAACACCGGUGGCGAAGGCGGCCCUCUGGACCGAAACUGACACUGAAGCGCGAAAGCUAGGGGAGCAAACGGG